CACCCACGUUGCCAUGCCGGUACCGCUGUUGCCAGGCUACGCCGAGGCUGUCGGAAGAGGAUGUCAAGAUGCUCUGAGGAUGAGGCGACCGGAGAUGAAGCCGAGAGACCAGACCUGGCCCAUGACCUGCUCCCCUGCUUGGAUCCUGCAGAGUAUGGAUUUGGGGUGCUGGCAGAGGGUGCUGCACCCCAAGGACCCCCAGGACCUGUUCUCUGCCCCAGCUCUCUGCAGCUCCAGCAGCAGUUACCAGCAUCUCCCCAGGAGAAUGCAGCAUCGCCCGCCUGCCGCAUCCUGGCUUCAGGCACCAAAACCACCCACCAGCUCCUCCUUCCUCCUUCCACCAUCCUCUUCCUUCAGGCAAUGGAUUUUCUCUGUGGGGUCGACUGGAGAGCACCACCAUGGUCUGGACCCAGUGGCAGCUCCUCCGACAGGAAUUGCAGCCAUGGGGACAGGCUGCAGGAAAGCCACCUGGGCAGGCGAGCCUCCUUUGCGAGCCUGCAGACCAAGUGCCACCAGCAGCUUUCCCUGGGUGCUCCAGGGAUGUGGCUAGCACUGGAAGAGCCUCCAGCCUUUGGCACCAUUCUUAAAACACCUCCAGGGUGCACUUUGUGUCUCUCUGGGGUUAUUUCAGGUUUCCCAGAGCCGCUGCAAACAGCCUGCUCUCAGCACCAAGCCUUCACUGCUGCUCAGGGCUCUCCCUCUGCCUGCUCACGGCCUCCAUCGGGCAGCAGUGGGGUCCCCAAAAAACUCCCGGGUAGAAGGCAGGUGGGCACCACUUGCCAUCUGUGUCUGCGGCGCGUGCCUGAUACCAUCAGCAGCCAGAGGGUGGUUGGACACAGCUGUUUAAUGGACACUUCCCAGUACAGCGUGGAGGCUGCGACGCCCCGUCCCUGGUGGCUUGCUCAUUCCAGCCACGGCUCCAGCCCGCCCGCGCCCCACCUCGGACCCAGCCCCCGAAAUGCCCCCAUGGUGCUGCCGCAUCUCCCGGCCUCGCUAUACGGCCGGAAGCUCCGAGAUGGUCUCACAGCUUGCAAGGGAGGGAGUCCCUGCAGCGGGGAGCGGUGCCCUGGCUUGGGCAGGGGGAGGUGGAGAUGAGGCCAUGGCGCUGCCGUGGGUGUGGGUCGGAGGUCCUGGCCUCCAUGCAGGGGGUGUGGAGGGGCGAGGCUUGCAGGGGACCCAGCUCCUCUGCGCCUCCCCCCUGCCUCGUGGCCUCCUGCCUCGCCCCUGCCCUGCGAGCCUCCUCCGUGCGGAGGGAGGACGGAGGAACCCAUCCAUCCCCUUGGGCGCUCCCAAGGCUGCAGGAGAUGGGCAGCAGCUCCCGGCGGCUGGCGGCUCCCUGGGGGCCGCAGGGACGUGAGGCGGUGGGGCAGGGCGGGGACGGCCUCCCCCCAGCACGGAGCCUCUGCACCCAGCGCCUCCAGGGACCUCCAGCCUCCUCCGGGGCCUCCAGGGCACCAAGGUCCUGCCCUGCCUCCCCCCAGCCAAUCAGAGCUCUCCAGGGCUGCACCUGCUCGAGCCUCCCUCACCCAAUCGCAGCCCACCACCCAUCCCUCCCAGCCAAUCCGACGCGGAGGCAGGGGGAGAAGCAGAGCGUCUUCUCCCCCGCCAGCCAAUCAGCAGCUGGCUCCCCCCCAGGCAAGCAGCGGGGAGCCGCGCGGGAUUGGCGGGCGGGGCGAAGUGAGCAGGGCUUCCCUCAGCCAAUGGGAUGUUGCGGGGCGGGUUGCCGUGGCAACGGGGCUCUUCCCCCGCCCCGUGGGGGAAGGCGUCGCCGGCCAAGAUGGCGC
rnacentral:lncRNA from 1 species